AUGGAAUGGCCAGCGUCUAUAAGGAAAGGGAAUUUUGGUGGCUGUUCCUGUGCCUAAAAUGUAGCCAUCUCUUCCAGCUCCUCCACAGCCCUUUAAUGAGAGUGCCCCGUAGGCUGCUGGGCCCCUGUGGGCAGGGUUCACGUGCAGGGCUUAAAGACUUCAUUAGCAGACAGUAACCCGCACCUGUCCAGCCCAGGAGCGCCAUUUCCCACUUCCAGGGCCUGAGCAAGAAACGCCGACCUGAGCUCCUGAGAGUGGAUUUUUCUUCUCCUUUCUGACCCAAGACAGAGAGGUGAUUUCACGGCAGAUGGCUCCACACUGGAGCGCUCAGCAUCGAACUCUGCUCCUGCAGCAGUUGGACGGCACAGACCUGCCCGGGAGCUUUGGUCAGACAGGCCCAGCCCAUGGAGAUAUUCUGGGCCCUGAGCACACAUUUUAGAACAAAGGAGAGGAGCGUGGGAGGAUGGCCUUCCUCGCAAGCCUGAAGGAUAGCGGGAAAUGCACGUAAGCAGAGAUGUGUGAGCACAGGAGACCCCAGCAAUACGUCUCGGCCAGUUGGAGCUGUCUCACAUGCUCAAGGCUCUCAAGGUGCCCCAUGAAUGCAGAAUUCCAGGGGACCCAUGAUGCAUGGGAAUCCAGUGAGACCCAGCCUCAACACAAGCACGACAUCUGAGUGUCUGCUCCUCUACCUUGAAUCAUCUCUUCUUUGAAGGUCUUCUCAUUUCCUCUCUGUCACCAAGUCUAAACCAGGGUCCAGACUGCAACUACCCCUCCCUAUCCCUACCCGUUCGUCCUGACCCCCUUGGACUGCUGCCCCCUCGAGCCUCCUCCAGCACCUGCUGCCUUAUAUCUGCUGCCCUUCACUCUCCGGCAUCUCCUGGAAUCACAGGCAGAAGUGGUCUGCACGUGGGCACAGGCAUCAUCUUCUGGGAAAUCCCAAGAGAGCCCUCAAUCCCCCAGAAGUUACAGGGGUGGAAUAAGGAGGCUUAGAAAGAUUUGGGAUAAGCAGCCAUAUAGCAAGACUGGCCUGGCCGUGUGCGCUCCUCUGUCUCUUUUGUAAGGUUCCCUUUGGGGGUGGAGAACCACGACAGAGGCCCCAGGGUGAUGGCACACCAGUGUGUGCACACAUGGGUGCCUUCCCUGUGAGAAGGUUCGAGCACUAGAAGUAGUGGCCGCCAUCAGACCAGCCACUCUUUCGACUUGUCAAUUUUUUACGUUCUAGAUCUUUUAAAGCAGAAAUCAUUUUAGCUUGGCUGGAAUGAAAACUCAAGAUACAGUGAAUCAUCCUGGUCUCAUCUAAAAUAGAUAACGAGGCUAAGUUUGGUGAGAGGUGUAGUAGCCACAGCUGCUUGAAAUGAUACUCCCUCGUAAAUAAAUCACCGGCUGGCAGCCUCACCUUGGAAUAUUUAUAAGGAAAUAGACCUGGGAAGGAAAAACUCUAAGUCUAGGCUGCAGAGAUGCUUGGAAGAGGAAGCUCAUAGUGUGUCCAGAAAGUGUGAUUCUUGGUUGCCUAUGGGGAGACAGGGGAGAAAAG
ensembl:lncRNA